UGUGAGCUCUGGGUGCCUCACCUGGAAGGGAAGGGCUGCUGCUGCUCCUGGGGCUGGGGAGCACCAAUUGUGGUGAGAAGGUGCUUGGAGAGCUGCUGAGCUCAGCCUCCCCUGCCAGCCACAGUGUGCAGGGCUGGGAUUGCAGCCUCUGUGCGGGGGCUUUGGGGGGUCCCUGGGAGCAGGGCAGCCACCCCUGAGAGGGGACAGAGCCCAGCCCCUGGGUGAGUCUUGCCCUGGGCAUGGCAGGGAGGUUCUGCCGGAGCCAGGGGAGCUGUGGCUGAUCCAGGGCCCUCGGAGGGUGGGAACAGCCAGCACAGCAAACCUCGACUCGGCAUAUCCGUGGAUUCAUCCUGCCAGAAGCCCUGGCCACGGGCAGGCUGUGUGGUGACGCUGCCAGCCCACGCUCCACGCAGCCCUCUGCACGCUCUGGCUGCUGCAAAAGGCCCCCUGCUUUGGGGAGUCAUUUCAAACUCUCUUUGAGGGGUCUUAAAAAUUGCUGAACUUCCAAACUAAGUUCUUGGGAUUGAAUAUUUAUUGUUUAACUCAGCAUGAAAUAUAAAACAAAGCCUAAAACCAGGGAUGCUUUUGAUUUUAGUGUAAAUGCUGACAGCAUUUUUAAUUUAUACAGUAUUUUAGUAGUGAAUGCUUAAAAUUAUUCUGGUGUUUUGUGUCCUCAGCUGUUUUUCUCUGUACUGUGGUUAGCCCUAGAAUCUGCAUUGGAAUGAGUAACAUGCAGAGGUCUGAGACUUGAGACAAGCUCAGCCUGGAGUGCUUUAAGGCCUGUUAGGGAAGGGAUUUUCUGGCAGUGCCGUGGGGUCAGAGCUGCACUGUGGCUCCGUUAUUGUGGUUUAUGCCUCCUUCGUGCUCACAAGACUAUAACGGGGUCAACUUUCACCUGCUUGGAGCCUGCCAGGAUUACCAAUUCCAGUCCAUUCUGCUAUUGGGCAAUUGUUCAUUUCCAUGGAUAAGUCAGAGUUAAUGUUGUGUGGCGAUGAGAGUGCGGUUCAGUGCAGGGUCAGCCAGGUGCUGACGGCCACUCUGGGGCUACUGGCCAUGACCUUGGCACAGAUUGCCAGCCCAGUGCUGAUGCCAAGGCACAGCUCUUAACAUCUCCUAUACUCUGCAGUAGUAUCAAGAAAUAUAAAUAUACAGCACUUGGGCAAAGCCAAAAAUCCACAAAAUGCCUUUUGUUCUCUUUAACAGAGUCACAUCAACAUUUCUUUCAUGUAAAAUGUCCAUAGGGCUUUGCUGCUUCCACAGUGAAGUGCAUUCCAAGCAGUAGCUGCAAGAACUAGUACAGAGAAUUAAAUUAUUAUCCUGCUGUCCUGCAGCAAAGGCACUGCUGGUUGCAGCUCUGGAGGCUGGCACUGAUGCCCUUGCACUGCACAGCCGUCACUUUCUCAAAUGCAUAUGUCACUUAUGUUUUCCUUAACUAGAAUUUCAGCUAUUCCUGCCUCUUCACAUGCCUCUGCACAAAUGUCUGACCAUGAGCACUGCCAUGUCUGGAGCUGUGUGGAGGCUGUUUGCAGAACCCAGGAAUGCAGCCUCAGGAACAGAACCCUGCACAGGCAAACUUGGCAGAACCUGGGCAGUGUCUGGAAUCUGGGGAGAUUCUGGGAAUCUGGGACCAGGAGCUGACCCCACUGUUACUGACUGGUCUUGCAUUCCCAGGGGAACAAAAGAGGGCCUUGAUUGCCAGGUUUGCAGUUUAAAAAAAGCCUUUGCUUUAAUGAAUGUACAGCCUAAGUGUCAUCCUUCUCCAUUCUGGGUUGUUUUUCAGAAAACAAGACCAGUUUAGGAAAUUUAAAUCUCUCCAAAAAUAGAAAUUUUAUCUAGAGAAGUCACUCUGUGCUUCCAUACUUAGUAUAAACCAAAUUUAUUUGCUUCUGUAGUUGAAAUUGCAUUACUAAAGAGCAUAAAGUUUCUUUAAUGUUGUUUGAUGUUUUUUGUCUGGUUUUGAAUGGAAGCUGGGAUUACGUAAUGUGAUCUUCUUGUGGCUCUAACACUUGUCAGUUCAUUUCAAUUAAUGUUUUAUUUCUUAUUUAUUUUUCCCAAAUUUUAUUGGUUUGUUAGGAAUAAUACCCAAAUUUGUGAUGCUGAGAAGGUAAAGCUGCAGCAUAAGCCCACCUGGAAUCCUUGUCAUAGCAGAAAUGCACCAGGAGCAUCCACAGACAGGCAGGUUCACCAGCACUCCAGUGGUCUGUGUUUGUGUGUCUAUUUGUGUGUCUCAUGAUUUUCAGGUUGUUUUUUAUUUCCUGAUGCAACUGAAAAGUCAGCCUUUUUUAGAAAAGUGCAGAAUCUAAUGAGCAGUGUGUUUGAAAACCUCAGCCGUUCCCAGGACACAGGUGAGUGAUACAAACACAGGUGACACGUGGAGAUGGGCAUCUUGGAAAGAAAACAUCAAAGGAAUCACACAGUGGUCAGGGGUGGGCAGUUCACAGGGCCAGGGCCUGGAGACUUGUGCAGAGAAAACCACCCUGUUCUUCACUCAGUGCCAGUGAGCUUCAGUUCAUGAAGAAAGUAGCUGGAAAAAUUACCCAGAAAUAGAUGACCUUUCAAAAGGCCUCUAAUAUACAAUUACCUGAUGUUCACUGAAGUGGUUCACAUGCUUCCCACCCUAAAUGAUUUCUAGGUUCACCCAUGUGUGAAAAGGGGUCUGAUUUUAUGGAGGAGGACAAUUGAGGAAAGAAACUUCAGAAAGGAGAGAAAUACGCCAGAGAAUUUUACUGGUUGUUUGCUCCAAGGGAAGAAAAGGGCAAAUCUAUGCAGCCACCUCAAAGUCACCUUUUGACUUUGAAUUUUAAAAGAAAGGAACAUGGAGAACUGCGAGGUAUUGACUGCACUUGACAGAAGCUGUUCCAUGGAGAUAGGAAAUUUGGGAUCUAGUGGAAUUUGCUUUCUUAGCAAGAUGACAAGUUCUUUUUUUGUCUCCCCAGUACAACAAAAUUAUUACAACUCCUGUUUUCCUUACUGCCUUUUCUUUCCUUCUGCCCUGGGUCAUCUGGUACAGGAGAUCCCUUGCCUGUGUGGCCACCAGUGCUUACACCAGGGGCUGGCCAUGUCCCCUCUGCAGAGUUUCAGCUCUGAUCCUGGGCCAAAGCCACUGAAUUAUCUGGGGCUGCAAUCUCUAGUGGGCUUUAGGCAAAAUACUUUUCUAAGCAAAUUAUUUUUCUGGCUAGCACAAGUGUCUGUGCACCUUUCCAGUGGCAGCUGUGCCCUGGUGCACACGGCAGUGUUCUUCUCUUCACUGCCCCCAGCAACACGGGGGGAAGAGAUGUGGGAAAGCAGCAGCAUUCAAAAACCCAAAGGCUUUUUGAAACCAGGGAAUGGGAUUUCCACAUAUGAUGAGGGAGCACACUGGGCAAUAGAAACUAUACUUGGAUGGAAGAAAAUGAUUUUAAAUAACCUUGGAACAUAACAAUUUUAAUGAACAAAAGCAAGUGACAGUUCCCUCCCCCAUCUGCAUUAUAUGACAAAACAAACAAAGUCCCUGAGACAGGUCAGACAGACAAGAACAUCAAUGUGGCAGUUGUAGCACUGAAACACUUUUCAUUUGGUCAGGUAUCUAAGUAUCUUUGUGGGGAAAAAGCCCCAGAGUUUAACUUUGGAUCCAAAGCAUUAGACCUGCAAUGCCACAGAAUUCUGUGACUUUGGAAAUGUUCUGUUGUUUUUCAGUAUGAGCUCAUGAACCUGGAAUGAAAUUGUCCUCUCAUGUCCCAGAUGCAAAAUAAAUGCUCAGGUCUAGAGACCAAGGGGGUCCUGAGCCAUGGUCUUCAAUAUGUUUGUUUUUCAUCAAGUUCACGAGCAACUUUGAGCAGGAUUUUCUGCAAUUGAGUAAGACAAAAAAAUUAAUAUUAAAAAUAAAAGAAGAAACCUGAAUAAGAUUUUUCAGAAAGCCAUUUAUUUUCCUAUAUAGGACAUCCAGAUCCAAAAGUGAAUGGUGAGUCAGGAGUGUUCUCAGGCCCACGGUUCCAGCAGCAGCUCCCAGGCUCCUCUGGCUGUGGCUCUGCUGGAAGGCAAGUCAGCUUGAGCUCACAGCAGAUAAAUGUGGGAUGAUGUGGAGCUCCUCAAGCUCCUGCCUCCUUCUUUUGGAGGCCACGCAAUGUGCACGUGUUGUUCCUGAACUCACGCCUCUUCUGGACAUUUGUUUGCUUGAUCCUUAAAUUUCUGUGUUUGUCUCCAGUGGGCAGAGCUGUGCCAAGCUGCCAGCAGCUUCCCCGGGGGCUGCACACACAUCUCCUGAGCCCAGAGGAGCCGAGGGAGCCACGAGGGUGCCAGGAGUGCAGGCACACACAGCCCCCAAGCUCUGAGGGCAGGGUGCUGACCAGCUAACCAUGGCACAGAGACUGAAGGAUGGCAGAGUUUCUCCUGGAGCCUGCUCCUAACUCUCCAUGGCCCUGUUUGGGAACAGGCUGCAGUCACUACAUGCCUUUAGCUUGAACUUGCACUUCAGCAGAGGAAGAAUGGAAGAAAUGUUCUGAGAGAAAAUUCCAUUUAUGUCUUCUGCCACCUGCUAAUGGCAUAUGGGAGCUGCUGCAUGCCAGUAGCCGAUGGCAAAGAUAACAUCAGUGUGGGGAAAAUGGUGCAGUGCUGGAAAUGAGACUCAUGUUCCAGAUGACCCGAUAGUUCAGUGCCUGCUGGGGCCGGGUGUGGGGCCAAGCUCUGCUCACCAGCCCUCACACAUCACACCCAGUGUGAUGGCCUUGUUGGAAUCCCAGAAAUCAAAUUUUUUUUAGGGCAGACAAAAGGACAAGAGCUGAAAAGCAUCUGUUCACCUCCAGCUCCAAAUCAGGCUUUGCUGCAUAUACCUCCAGCCCAAUUCCUGUGAGCCAGGGCGAGGGAGGCUGGCAGGUGGGAACAGUCCAAGUGCCAGGAGAGCUGCUGCUCUGAAAACUGACAUCAUGGCAGAGUGGACGUAGUGGGCAGCUCUUCAGAAGUAAACAUCCAUUUUCAGUAGGAUCAUAGAAAUAUUUGAGGCACUCAACAGCAAAAUCCUUGUUGCUUUUCACCCUUGUGCCACUGGGAGUUUUUGCUCAGUGGGGGAGUUCAUGGUGUUUUAUAUGAAUUGAGAGGUAAUUGUGAGCAACUACUUAAAUAGCUCUACUUAUGUUUAGAGAAGGCUGGUCCCUGAAAGCAGCUAGGAUCUGUGAAUAAACAUAUUGACAUAGGUGACCACCUGAUCUGUGCAUAUGGUUGUAAAAAAAAGCCCCUUUGACUAAGUUGAAAUAGCUGGCAGUAAAGCUGAGCAGACAGCAGACGCCAGCAGCUGUGCCUGCCCAAGCAGCGCUGGGGCUCAGCGGGGACAGCGUGGCCACAGCACGUCCUGCCAGCCCGAGCUGUCCUCCUGAGGGGACCAGGGCCUUUAAAUACCCCGUGGACAGAGAAAGGUGAAGGGACUGGGCCCCCUGAAUGGGGGAUGGACAAGCCCAGAGGCUUACCUUGCUUAGUCCUCAGACAAACACGCUCAGUGUCUGCCGAGUCCCGCAGCUGAUGCCACUGCAGAGCCCUGCCUGUGCCAGCACUGCCCUGCACGGCUGGUCCAGCACUCCCAGGGCACAGAGGGCACCUGCUGCCAGCCCACAGCUCCUCGGGAAUGCACACAGCUCCCUCCCCACACCGAGCUCCCAGGGGAGAGUGGGCUUCCAGCUUGGCCGUGGCCCUUAGCAGUCAGAAUUUUUGGAAGAGAAAGUCUGUGAGAGAGAGGACAAAUGUGAGGCUGUUGAACAUGUUCAGCCCCUCAGCACAGGGGUUGAAGAGUUCACAGGGACAGCUGAGAUGAGGCCAAGCCUGGUGGUGGCCCCCAGCUGCCCCUGCCCCACCAGCCUCCUCUUCCUCUUCCUCCUGCAGUGAGCUCCCAGCUGCCGCAGCCCACCGAAAACCAUGUUCAGCACAACCUAACAGCACAGAAUUACAAUGUCCUAGGGCAUGGAAACGGGUCAGAAACACACUCUGUGUCCUUCUGUAGUAACAGAGGUGCCACUUCUGGUCUGAGGGUUUCACAGCCCUGAGAUCUCACUGCUUAUGACUUGAAGCAACCAGCACCACUUGAAGCUAUAGGGAGAAAAAUUUCAUUGAACCACAUUGCCUCUCUGCUAGACAAAGCACAGAAAGUUAACUCACUCCCAGAAUGUCAGAGUUUUCUGGACACCUUCCAAAAAAUCGCUGCAUUUCAUGCUUGAAUGCCUAUCAGUGAAUUUCCAGUACAAAAUGUAAACAGAGACAACUAGAAAUCAACAUCUGGUGUUUCCUUUGCACCUCCCCAGAAGGGAGGGCUGUUGGCAUCAUGUAUUCAAUCUCUCAGCACCAGCAGACACAGGUCAGUGACAAAACAGGUGAAAGAAUAAGGCCUGAGGUCAGUAGAUGCCCAGUGCAGCCACUGAAGCUGCUUGCUUCCAGGAGCUGAGGCUGCUGCUCUGAAGGAAGCAAAACUCCUGCCUGGCAGUAAACACCUUCAGUUACCACACAGAAAAAUUGAAAAAGCCAAACAACAAUCACCUAGCCAAGUGUUUAGGGUGGAAAAAUAUCAAAAGUCAAGAUGAGAUGGACAUGGCAUAUCUCCUGCCCGGAAUUCCUGGGAAUGUUUGUUGGUGGCAUGCCUGCUCAGUAGUGUCAGUGGACACGGGGCCAGGACCACGCUCUUCAUCCCCAGCCUCCCUGUGGCUGAAGGAGACGCAGCUGAAGCCUGGCUGGGACAACUGCCAGGUGUUAGGGAGGAUCACUUCUGCCCACAGGUCACUUCCCCAGCAAGGUGUACCUGGCUCCAGCCCUCCCCAGUGGUGUGGGACCUCAAGGGGGUUGAGAAAGCCCUUGGAGUAAAUAAGGUGAGCAGCACCAAACUUUCUGGGGGAAUCAAUCCUGGUGAAUGUUGCCCACCCAUAGUUCAGAGGCACUCUUUGCAGCGAGGCAGUGUGGGCAGGCUGAGCAGUGCUCAUGUCAGGAUGGUGCUACAGCUGAAGCCAUCACGUGGAGAAAGAGCCUCAGCUGCAGGGCUGAGCAGGCAGGGGCAGAUCCUGCCACAGUUUUGACUCACAGCCAGACAGACUCGGUACUUUUCAAGUUACAGAACUUCAGGUUUUUGCAUUUCAGCUUUACAAAUGCUAGUCGGUGGUUUUGCCACUUCUCACCUAUUAAACUUCUUGGGUUUAUCCAUGCUCCAUCCACUGUUCCAUCCAUUAAAUUCUAAUUUUUCUGCCUUUGCUCACUUGUAACUGGAGGAGGUCACCUUCAGAGGACAGUGGUAGUAGCCAUGGAGUGCCCUAUCCAGUGAAGUCUCACAUGAAAAAUAGGAUGUCUCUAAAAAGCAUGAUGAAGUCUUUGAAAAUUAAGAUAAUACCAGUGCAGGGCCAUACCUGCUGCUAGCGUGUGAGGUUCAGAAGUGCUGUUGCUGCUGCUGAACAGCAUUUCCAUGCCAGGAACCUGCACCAGCUGCUGUGGAUGCAGAUCCAUCCCUCAGCUGAUCCUACAGCAUGGGAUCUGGACUCCUCCAUUUCUCAGACUCCUUCACCUCUGCAUCAUCAGGAUUUCUUCAGCAUGGUCAUUAACAGCUCACACAUACCUGCCACGCCUUCCAGCACACACCUCUGCAUUCCUCACCCUGCUCCAAGACAUGCUUUGUUCAUGGACUCAGCUCUCAGAGCUCUCACUCUCCGUGUGAUUCACAUGGAAUCAAAUUAUAUGAAGUGCUGGCAAGUUGUGUCAUGAUGGAUUUAGCCCUGCACUUGAAAGAACAGAUCCUGUCACCUAACCUGUACUUUUGGGAGGUAUUUUACAAUUUGUAUAAUGAAAAAAUAUACUGGAAAUACCUUACCUGUAGUGACAAUUUCUGGACCUCAGUAUACACAGAAAUCCAGCAAUAUCCAUUGUUUGGAAUGCUUUUGUCUGUUCUAUAACAGACCAGAGUUCACAAGCGUUCUCCCAGCCUGUGCUCAGCUUAUAAAGCUUUUCCUGCCAUCUCUCCUGUUUGCCAAGUCUGCAAUCCCUGAGAGCUGCCAGCAUUUACAGCUCUGUGUGCAGGGAUGCAGCACCUGGGAGCUCUGAUGGAACAAGCUGAGGCCCCAGCACCUGACCCUGGAGGGUGCCAGGACUCUGGAGCUGGCACAGGCCAGAAGGAAAAUGAUCCCAUUUCCCCCUUUCUCAUCCUUGCUCUUACAGGGCACAGCAAAUCAAAACCUCAGAGCAGCACAACUCCUAUUGUUGCUUUCUCUGCAGCCUAGGAUAAAAACAAAAGAAAACCCAGCUCCUCAUUUCCACACGAAUGGAAAUGGUUGGCAAAUUUCUAGAUUUGGCCAAGGGAAAGGGAAUCCUUACUUAAUAUUAAAAACCUCAGCUUAGACUGAUUUCAUUUUCCAUUUUUUUAUUUUAGUCUCAAAUUUUAUGUCUUUAUUUUCAGUUUAAUCCUUUAUUUUUGUUUACAUAGCAUCAACUACUUCUCAAAUAGCUCUUUAACUAGACUUAAGAGCUACACUUUAAAAGUGGACACUGUGAUCAGCACAAAAAAUCCCUCCUUCUGGUAUUUUUGCUAGCAUCAGUCCCCAGAACACAGGCCUUAACAAAGGGAACAUAUUCCCUACUGAUGUGCCAGACAAAAGUUCAUGGCUUUGUCUUGCUGAAAAUGAAGUCUUGAUUAUUCAUGCAGUUCCCAAUUAGUCAUUCCACACCCUUGAAUUAUUUCUGACAGAUGUGAAAUGCCUUCUGCUGAAUUCCUACUCCAAGGAACCUUUUGCAUGACUGGUUUAUCAGUGAAUGUGAGCACAUCAUGAUUUUACAGUGCUUCAUCCCCAUGGCAUGUGUAACACUGAACAUGAUGACUGGGGAAACCAGACCCACCUAUUUUUGGUCAUGGUUCAGGGGUCAGGUCCAAAAUCUGCCAGCAGCUGCCCAAGAGGUGCUCACUCAGGGCUUGUGUGUGCACAGGGAAAGCCAGUUUACCCUGAGGAGCUCAGGAAUGGAUUGGCUGAGGGCAGAUGAAUUCACUCUCAGGGGUGCUCUGGAGACACGUGCUGACCUGAAGGCCUAUUUCUGUCACUUUUCACUUUCUUGCUUUCUCUUUGGUGCCAGGAGUGCUUUUCCCACUGGCUGCGUACUCAGCCGUGGUUGCUGUCCCUGAGGCAGCCAUGGAGAUCAGAGCCCCCAGCAGGGAGGGAAUGCCCAGCCUGGUGCCCUCAGCUGGAAGUGCUCUGUGCUCUUUCCCUCCAGACGUGACAGUGCUCAUCUCUCCGUGCAGUCAGAGGCACAGAAACUCUCAUCCACAGCCUGCACAACAUGGGUGAAGGCUCUUUCCCGGGGCUCUGAGGCUUCUCCUAAAAUGAGGGGUCCCCAGGCUGGCCUGAGUACAUUUAUUUUCUGCUACAAGGAAAAGGUCCUCCAUGGAACCUUCUCUGAACAAGAACCUCCUCAGAGCGAGAAGGCAGCUGCAGUGAGGAUGUUGUGGGGGUACAGACAGCUCAGAGCUGCUGCAGCCACUGUGCACCACGGACAGGAACCCACCCAGGGCAACUCACCUGCUACCCCUGGACCAGCCUAGCGCUGUGGGGCUUAGUCUGCUCAGGCAGAACCGCUGCCCUGCCCGUGCCAGGCGUGUAUCCCACAGAAACAGAGAGGUUCCUUAGCAAAGCCAGCUCUGAGCUCCCCUGGGAAGCCCCAGCAGAGAUCCCCUUUGGCACACCUGCAGUGAAUUCUUGCUCUCCCUGCUGCAUUUCAGCAGCAUUCCUGAGCAGCUGGCCAGGCCUGACUCCAAAUGAGGUUAAAGACUUCACCUCUGCAAUGGGAGAUUUUAGGCUGGGAUUCCACAUUUUUCUCCUGCAGAAGUCUCUGUCACUGCAAAACAAAACAAUAGCAACCAAAGCCAUGUUAAGUCAUUGUAGUGAUUCCAAAAUCCAUUAUUCCUUUGGCUAAUUUAAAAACCUCCAAGCUCAUUCUAGGUCUUACCACUUCGAAUUUUGUAUUUGUGGUGGUGAAACUCCCCUCUUCUUUUUAUCCACAGAUGCUCAUGGUCAUGAUGAUACGGUUUUGUUCAAUAAUUAAUCAUUUUUGCAUCAUAUUUGACUUGGUUUAGGGUUUUAAAUUGCUAGCCUUGCUGAAGGGAAUCUGUAAUUGAGAUACGAAUCUGAGUACCUGUGGGAGACUUCAAGUUUUGUGUAAAUGCCAAAGUGUAAGUUUUUAAAUGUAUGUUUUACUACUUUAAAGGCAUCCACACAGGGUGUCAGUGGAGGCUGAUCUGUCAUCACUCUGUCUCGUCAGCAGACCCACUGGAUUCUGACAGCUGAAUAGAGGCUGUUAAUUAAAAAUGCCAGGUUUUGUCAGACCCUUGUCAUGCUCCCUAGAUAAUUCAGUCUUAUGCAUUUCAAGCAUUUGCAGCAGGAACAAGACUAAAUCUUUCAAUUGCCCUGCUCCAUUCUAUGGUUCUUUCUCUAAGAAAGAGGAUUUAUUCCUGCAGCACUAACCCUUUGCAUUUUGAAGCAGGGUGUUGGUGUAGCUUGGUUCUGCAUUGAGAAGUGCCAGGGUUUGUGACAACUCCUCAGAGGGAAGCUGAGCAAAGGUUCUGGCAGUGACUCCCACCAUCAGGAAGGUUAUGGGGGAUGAUGCCACAAGUUUUGCAGGAGUAAAGAGCUUUUUCUUACUUUUCUAAGAAGGUUCUUUGCUAGAAUAAGCAAACAGAAAUUGGACCUGGCUCCAGGUGCCACAGCUGUCCUCUCCAGUCAUCCCUAAAGGAGGAGUGUUAGUUUUGUAACUAUGACCUAUUUUUUGAAUUUUGCUAUAUAUAUAUAAUUUUGCUCUUUAUGGCACAUCCAUGGACCCUCUGGGAUGCAUAUGGUGCAGAGCCUGUGGUGAAACCUUAGACUCAUGUUUAGAAAACACCACCUUUGUUUGUUUUACAUGUUUAUAAUUGUCUCUGGCUAUAUUAUCGUUUGUGAAUUUCCACAGUAGCUUUCAAAGUAAUGUUGGUUUGUCUGGAUACUAACAUUGCUAAAAAGCACUUAAAAUGUCAAAUACAAGAACAAUUGUCUGCUUCUUCUUGCUACUACAGCCUACCACAGAUGUGAAUCAUGAGCCAUAUUGCUACAGUUUCUGAAAUCAAAAUAAAUCCAAAUAAUGUAUAGCCCAGCACAGACAUAUUCCCUAAUGACACAGAAGUGUGGUGCUCCAGCUCCCCAUUUUAUAGGAAAAAAGGAGGAUUUAUGAUAAGAGGUUAGUUCCAACUCCUUGUUUCCUCAGCAGUGACUGCAGUUUUGUAUGGGACAGUCUGUUCCUUCCAUGCAUUGCUCAGAGGUGGAGCCCAUUGAGGAACCCCUUCUCUGCCCCAAUGGAACAGAGGGUUAUGUCACCUUCACGUGGAACUGUGUUGAACUGGAAUGUCACAGACUUGCCUCUGGGGUCAACCUGAGCUGCAACAGAGCAUGGAGAGGACAGAUUUCAGGUCAGAGAACAGAACAAGCAUGAUCUUAUCCCCGUGCCAGUUCCUCCACAUUGCAAAGUCUCCCCAAGGCAUGACGACACCAUUCCUGCUCUGGGAGGAAGGCACGGAGGCCUCGUCUGCAGCGCCUGCCAGAACAAACUGCAAGGAACAAACAGGCACAAGAAAUCUCCAGGUAAGAAUGCAGAGGAGAACAAGCACACUGGCUUUCCCACAGCAUGGAACAGCCAGGCUCACAGUAUGUACUGCCAAAACCAGAUAAAUGUUCCCUAGAGAAACCAGGCUGUAUUUAUGAGGGACUGCAAGAUCUCAGUGCCCAUCCUCAUUUGGUGCCUGCUCACCUGGGGAGCAGAAGAGGUAUUCUGUUCAAAGUAAUGGAUCCAAUCUGGUGUCCCACCCUGCUGGGCCACGAGGGAGAGGACAGCGUAACAGGAAUUGCAUUUUCCUUCUCCUCACUUGUGACUCUGUGUGGUCAGGUUUUAAUUCUUAAACUCAACUCUUUGAAUUAUUUCUAUAACCCUUACUGGUGUCACUCUGAGUAUUACUAUUAUCCUUAAAAAUACAUAACCCCCUUUCUCUAGAAAUUUCAACCACCCAGAAAGCAUGCCCUAUGACUUUGAAAUCAGUACAGAAAAUUUAUCAACAUAAUUGGAAAUAAAACUGAAUUUAGGAUGAAAGCCAUACCCUACACCCUCAAGGCUUAUAAAUUUAGUCUUGUCCAAGGUAUGAAUGCGUGUCCCCGAAAUUAAUAUAAUUCUGAAAAUUUCUUAUGUUUGUCAGACAGAACUAGACAAUUUUAGAGGCAUACAUAUGUGUGCAAAACAAAGUUAUGGUUACAAAGGCACAUCCUGGAUUAGAGAAAACAAAUGUCAUAUCAUACAGAGAUUUCCAUAAGGAUGGGAAUUGCUCAGGAUUGGCAUGGGUCAAGCAUAACUUUAAAUGCUAUUCCUUGAGCAAUAUCCAAAGGAUCUGACUCCACCUUUGCUCACUGUAAACUACAUAGUACCUAGAUAAGUGCUGAAUACAUAAUAGCCAGAUUUUUAUAUUGAUGGCCAAACCCAAACACCUACAAGUGACUUCAGCUAUUGGGUAUCAAACAAAGAAAUCAAUUUCUAAAGACCUGGUUGGAUAACACAGUUACCCUUUUCAAUACAUAAAACUUGAAUAGGUCUCUGGGAAAUAGCAGCAUAAAAAUAAUGUCAGUGAUGAAUUUAAAAUGUUCCCCAAACCAGGAAUUAUAAGGAAGUCUUGGGAGAGGUCUUUCCACAGUUUUUAAUUCUGAGUAUUAGAUUUUUCAUAAUCUCCGUUGGUUAUUUGGCCACUGCUGUGGGCUAUUGGAUUACCCAUCUGGGCAGCACACAGCUCCUGCCACAGGCCAGGAUCCCAACAGUGCAUGUGGGGCAUCUGUCAUCCUGACUCUGCCCAUGCUGCUCCUAUUGUAUAACUGCAGAUCUCAAACAAUGAACAGUGCUUGACAGUCAUCAACCUGAUUUCAAAAAUGGAGUAACUGAUGUAAGGAGAUGAAGAAACUCACUCCAUACCACUGAAUCAGUUGAUAUCCAUACAAGGAUUAGACACAUUUCCUCAUUCCUGGUGCCAUUUGUAACUUACCACAAAAGAACACUAAACCCGCUUCUUACAGCCAUUCUCCGUGCUCCAACAGACCAUGGCAUCAAAGGACUAGGCAAUAAAUCUUCACUUCUCACAGUUUCCAUCUGGAGACAGGGAAGCCAUCAAUCCACUAUCUGCUACAAACCCCCCAUUUGUGCUUUUGUAGGAAAGUUAGAGCUAAUCCAGCCUGUGAGUUUUCUGAAGCAUGUUUAUGUGAAUAAGGCCAAGGAACCAGUUUUGUCCGAUUGCUGUCUCAUGUCCUACAUGAUCUGGUAGCAAUAGUCUGUCAAAAAUUGCUCAGAACUUAAAUAUGUAAAAGUUUUCCCACACCUUUAUUUAUCCAGCUCUGAUCUCUGCUUUUGAAUUCCUUCUUUGCAGUAAAAGGGGAAGGAAAGGCAUUGCACUUCUGGAAGGGAAAUGUGAGGGGUGCAGGUACACAUUCCCUUUUGAACCCGAGGAUCCCACAUACCUGAGGCAAGUGGAUGUUGUCUCAGCUUGUUAGCACAGAUACCACCACUCCAAACAAUCAGGACUCUCUGGGAAGUCUAUUUAAAUAGGCCAACAUUAUUGUUAUUAUUAUGGACUUGCAAUGGCUUUAAUGUCUACUCUGUAACUCCUCUCUCAUCUUAAAAACAGACCAUCUUUCCUCUCCACACUUCCUCUUAGUCUUCUACCCCAAGUAUUACAGAAGUCCUUUAGGAAAGCAGUCCUGAAAAUGGAUCUGUAACUAGAGAUCAGAUUGGGGCACAUAGUACUUGUUUAAAGUAUCUGACAAGCUCUCUGAAGUUUGUGUAUGUUGUCUUUUUUGCUUAGACAAUAUAUGAAAAACAAAUGCUCUGCCAUUAUUCAUGCUUUUAACACUGAGAGGUAAUUGAUAAAGCUGGUAAAAAGUCUAAAGAAUGGUUUCUACACAAAGCAAAGUGAUUACUUACUGUUUAAGGAAGAGGUUUUCAAGAAAAUGAGCAACCUAGAUUCUCAGAAAUCCAGCAAUGAAUUAUUGAAAUGUCCAUUAAAAUAAAACCAUGCCCAACAGAUCUCAGAUACACUACGUCUAUCAAAGGGAUGUGGAUUUUCUCCAAUAUUGAUAUCCCACUUUACUCAUUAUGAAUUUGAAAUACAUGAGAGAAUAUGCUGCUGAACGCUGUGUGAGCUAUCUGAAACGGUUCUCAUUUCUCUCUUUACUAGGUUAAAUGAAACCUGAUCUGGAUUCCACUUGAUCAUAAGACUGGAAUGCUGAAAAUGCCAUAAUCUAUUUAUACAUCAAAUUGAAGAAACAUUGCAUAUCUUUAAAUUUCAGAGCAUUCCAGUGUAUUAGCUAAAUAGCAAGAGUUUACAAACUGUUUCACAUUCAAACGGAGAAAGAAAAGACAGACCAACCUGACUUAUUUAUCCUAAAGCCAGGAUUGAUUUCCUGGCUUUAAAACUAUGGCCCAAACCCAGGUCUGCUCUGCCUUCCCGAAAAGCCUUGUUCUUGCAGCAGUAAUUCAUCAUUUGUGCCAAAACAUGGUAGUUGCCUUAUGACGACUUCCAAACCCCCAGCUCUUUUUCAGCAUCAAUAGCAUACGACAACCCCAGACUAGAUUUGCAGCUCAGAUUUUGUUCAUGCUUCUCUUCCCUCUGCCUCUAAACCACAAAUGGUUCAAAAUACAGCAGUCAGCAAGGCUGAGAACCACUGUGUAAAUAAGAACAGCCAAAUCACACAGAUGGAAGCCAUACAGGGCUUAUAUAGCCCAGGAGGUGUUGGCAGUAACUCCUCCACCAACAGAUCACCUCACACCCCCCAGUGAAACAGCAGUCUCCAGUUCCACAGAAUGCUGUCAUUUCCCUCCUUAUUUACACUGUUUAUUUACUAUUUACUGGUGUGCACAGAGCUUUUGACACAUUGUUCUGACUGGAGGAGCUGCUCCUAUCCAAACACCACAACUGGGUGCAGCACAAGAUCUACAGAAAAAGUAAAGGUGCCCAUCCUGAAGGAGAGCCUAAUGUGCUAAAGGCCUGUCCAUUGGUCUGUACAAAUGUACAUCCUGGAUUUUAACAUCUCUCAGUGAAGGAAAACACAGCUGCCAUUGACAUAUGAUGGGUUGACUGCCAUUGACUUGAAAGGGGUCAGGAUCUGGCUAAAAACAGCUGAUGAUAUUUCAUAACAUUUAUUCAUUUCUACUUGCACUUUCAAUGUGUGAAAGAGAGUCCAUUUUUCUCACAUGUCAUUCCUAUGAUUUUUUUUUUCAUUAGUUGUUGAAUUUAGUGCCUAUUAUUUUCCAUGUAGAAGACUACAAACACUACAAAGACAAAAAGAGCAAUUUUUUUAGAGUCAGGGGAGAUGAAAACUGUGCUAUUUGUCACGUGAAACUUGAAGGACAGCCUGAAGCUAAAGACUGCAGCUAAUAUUCGUGGUUCUCUGGAUAGUUAGUGGCCUUUAUAAAUGCAAAAAUUCUACUUAGACAUUAAAAUAACUAAUUUGCCAUUUUCUGUGCCCUUCUCCCCUCCAGCAGUCUGUAACCUGGUAUUUGUCGUCCAGGUCUUGUGUCUUACAACUUGAAAUUCAAAAGAACUUGAAAUUCAAAUUACAAUUGCAUCUCAGUCAGGUUUGAGACCAUUUGGGGUAAUUUAGAGGAGUUUUAAAAACAAGAAUAAUUUGAGUAAAUGUCUUACUGUCUAGAACCACGAGUUUCAUAAAAAGGAAAAUGUACAGUUUACAGUUAAAGAAAGGAAUUUCUGAUAGCACUGUUAUUUUAAAAUUUAUGAUGUUAAUGCAGGAUUUGAUAUGAGUCAUCAGAAACAGAGUGCACUCUUAGGAUAUCCAGUUUUCAGUAACACCUAAAUUUAUUUUCAAAUUUGAAAAGACCCUAGGGAUAAAUAAACUGCUUAUCACUUGUU